GCUAAUAUGCGCAGUGGUAAAGCUCGUGGUGAUGGUGGUGCCAGCUCCCAAUCUCCGUCGGUCCAGAAUCUUAUCAUCACUCUCUCUGUCCUUCGCUUAUGUGUUAGUCGUUAAACACCUCUUCUCCUAAAACGACGCCGUUUCAGCUAUGGCGUUGAGCUCAGCUUCUCUUACUAGACUUACCUCUAUGUCGUUCUCGGCGAAGAAGCCGAAUCCAAACCCUAGAAAUCCAUCUCUCUCCUUCACCAUUACUAGCUCAUCGUCCUAUGACGAACCACCGAAACCUACGUCUCUCACCUCUUCUUCUUCUUCUACUCCACCUGUUCGUGUCUCCUCCAGUUCCACCCCCAAAGCUCGAUUCAUCGCUCGUCAGAAACAAUCCAUCUCCGUUCGCCAGCUCCAACGACCUCUAAUUGAGUAUAUGAGCUUACCUGCAAGUCAGUACUCGGUGCUUGAUGCGGAGAGGAUUGAGAGAGUUGAUGAUAACACGUUCAGAUGCUAUGUUUAUACGUUUAAAUUCUUCAACUUUGAAGUCUGCCCUGUUUUGCUUGUCAGAGUUGAAGAACAACCUAAUGGCUGCUGCAUCAAGCUCUUGUCCUGCAAGCUUGAAGGUUCUCCUGUUGUGGUUGCUCAAAAUGACAAAUUUGAUGCUUCUAUGGUGAAUCGGGUAUCAUGUGAUAGCACUCAGGAGGGCACAACGGACCAACAAAUUACUUCAGAUGCAGUCAUUGAGGUCAAUAUCGAGAUUCCUUUUGCAUUUAGAGUUUUCCCGGCGGGAGCAAUAGAAGCGACAGGGACACAAGUCCUUGAUCAAAUUCUUAGACUCAUGCUACCAAGAUUUUUGUCUCAGUGCAAGAUCGUCCUACUUGUGAAGAUUAGUCUUGCAUCUAAUGUUUCAUCUUGAGAAGAUCUAUCCUAUUUGAGCUGGUUGAUGAGGAGGCGAAUAUAACCUGUUUUUAGGCUUUAUUUAUAUGUCGGUAAAGCACAUGUUGAACCAAGACUCAGGUUGCAGCUUAGCAUAAGCUUCCUAUGGUUUCACUCUCUCGAAAGACUAUCAAGCAUGGGCUUCUGGAGACACUUCAAGGCAACCUCUUGGGACUGGCGAGAUCUGAUAGUACAGCAAAAGCUACUGAACCUGGUUCAACGAUGUGCCUCCCGGAGUUCCGAUCGGGAUGUUAGCAAAUUCUCGAUCUUUUUCAAUGUUAGCAAAAUACAAAUGAAUCUGUAGUCACUGGAAUUGCAACCCUUUACAAUAGAAUACGUUUGUUUGUUUGUUUGUUCCACUGUAAACUCUCACGUUGUGUUAUGUUUAAUCCACCCGGAAGAUCCUUAAACGGAUCUAGUUCCUUUA